UGAAAAACGAACUGUGUUGCCGGUCGGUGUAGUAAUACUAUGAAAGUUUUGAUGUCAAUCACCAUAUAAAUUCAAACAUGAAAAAACCUGGAAGGAGGAGAGAUGACUAGAGAGGAUUCGGUUGACCGGUUUAUGUGUGGAUUAAUUGUCGGAGUAGAGGACCUUGUUAAUUUCAGACAAGCGGAGUGAGAGCAGCUGCAGACGGGACCUCUGAGACCCCUGCCGAAACUAUCAAAUGCCUUCAGACCGAAGAUGGAUUUCUUAAUGUGUGAAAGCUGCACUGUAUUCACAGAGUUGUUUUGUCUCUGUGGCCGGACUUGUUAAUACAUUAUUUUUUCUCUCCCCACACUGGUCAGGGUUAUUGAGGGGAAAUCACCAGGUUAGAAUAACUCUACAAGUCCUUGGCCUUGCUAAUGAGUAGGAGAAGGGGGUUGGGGGGGAGGAGGAGGGGUAAUUUCUAAGAGUGCCCUAGUGUGCUUCUGCCCAAGCCUGAGAUCCUGUCACAAUUACUCUAUUAGCAUGCUCAGCUGUGUCUCUGUUUUUCUUUAUCCAAGCAACUUAUCACAACUGACAAGGCACAUGAGGGUGUCAGAAAGGGCCUGUCAGAGCCCAUUGUGUCCUGCAGAACAUGGGGAUACUUACCAGCUCCCUCUCUUCCCCCUCUGACACUCAGUUGUGGACAGGAGCCAGGGAAAGCUAGAGGCAGCUAGAGAGCAGGGUUUGCUUGUCACACCUAUUCUGAUUGACAAGGGGACCGGCAAAAGGAUUAAUCUGCAUCCCAAAUGGCACCCUAUUCCCUAUGUAGUUCAAUACUUUUGACCAGGGCUCAUAGGGAAUAGGAUGUUGUUUGAGAAACAUCCUAAUUGUGGGUGAACACAAUGGAAAGCUAUACAGUAGAGGCAGAAUACUGGAUCCAUAGGUUCAUAGGAAGGAAGGUAACAUUUCCUGUUUUCUCACCAAAAGCCCGAUAUAGGUAACAAUGUGUUCAAGGUUUAUGUUAAAGCCUGACUUUGGACAUCAACAUUGCAUGCAUAGCAACCACAUCAUUAGGUCAUAAAAAUAUAAAUCGCAACAUGCAACAAUUUCUAAGAUUUGACUGAGUUACAGUUCAUAUAAGGAAGUAAGUCAAUUUAUUAGGCCCUAAUCUACGGAUUUCACAUGACUGGACAGGGGUGCAGCCACUUGGGAGCGAGGCCCACCCACAUAGGAACCAGGCCCAGCCAAUCAAAAUUAGUUUUUCCCCACAAAAGGGCUUUAUUACAGACAAAAAUACUCCUGAGUUGAAUCCUCUAGGUGAAGAAGCCAGAUGUAGAGGUCCUUACACGUGGUCUGCGGUUGUGAGGCCGGUUGGACAUACAGCCAAAUUCUCUAAAACGACAUUGGAGGUGGCUUAUGGUAGAGAAAUUAACAUAAAAAAUCUUUGGCAACAGCUCUGGUGAACAUUCCUGCAGUCAGCAUACCAAUUGCAUGCUGCCUCAAAACUUGAAACAUCUGUGGCAUUGUGUUGUGUGACAAAACUGCACUAACUGCACAUUUUAGAGUGGCCUUUUAUUGUCCCCAGCACAAGGUGCACCUGUGUAAUGAUCAUGCUGUUAAAUCAGCUUCUUGAUAUGCCACAUCUGUCAGAUGGAUGGAUUAUCUUGGCAAAUGAGAAAGGCUCACUAACAGGUAUGUAAACAUAUUUGUGCACAACAUUUGAGAGCCAUAAGCUUUUUGUGCACAUGGGUACAUUUCUGCGAUCUUUCAAUUCAGCUCAUGAAACAUGUUGCGUUUAUAUUUGUGUUCACUAUAGUUAACACAACUUUCAGGAUUACUACAUGACUACAUGGCCAUUCAAACACUUAUGUAUUGUAUUGUAAAACAAAUAUAUGCAUUUUAAUUGUUUUAAUUUUUAAAGGAACUCAGUCUGGCUUUCAACUUACUCUUGAAAAUAGAAAUAGUAGAAUGCACAAGGUGCAAUUUCGAAAUUGGGUAGUCAGACAUUGCAUACCUUAUUUAUAACGUGCCAGAAAUGUUCAGAUCAACUAGCCCAUGUGUUAGCUAGAUUUUUAAGCCC
ensembl:lncRNA